rnacentral:tRNA from 1 species
ACCUUCGUCGUGUAAGCUUAGCACACUUGGCUUGUAUUCGGGAGGUCCAGGUUCAAGGCCCGGCGAAAGUA